AUUGAACGCUGGCGGCAUGCCUUACACAUGCAAGUCGAACGGUAACAGGUCUUCGGAUGCUGACGAGUGGCGAACGGGUGAGUAAUACAUCGGAACGUGCCUAGUAGUGGGGGAUAACUACUCGAAAGAGUGGCUAAUACCGCAUGAGAUCUACGGAUGAAAGCAGGGGAUCGCAAGACCUUGUGCUACUAGAGCGGCCGAUGGCAGAUUAGGUAGUUGGUGGAAUAAAAGCUUACCAAGCCGACGAUCUGUAGCUGGUCUAAGAGGACGAUCAGCCACACUGGGACUGAGACACGGCCCAGACUCCUACGGGAGGCAGCAGUGGGGAAUUUUGGACAAUGGGCGCAAGCCUGAUCCAGCAAUGCCGCGUGCAGGAUGAAGGCCUUCGGGUUGUAAACUGCUUUUGUACGGAACGAAAAGCCCUGGGUUAAUACCCUGGGGUCAUGACGGUACCGUAAGAAUAAGCACCGGCUAACUACGUGCCAGCAGCCGCGGUAAAAC
rnacentral:rRNA from 1 species